CUAAGAUGGUCGUCUACGCGGUGCUCCUCCUCCUGCCCAUGCUAACGGCGACUUCUGUGGCAGUUGAUCAAGGCAGCAUGGUGUCCAACUCACCCGGCGAAUGGUGCUGGCCAGGAAUGGGUUACCCGGUGUACCCGUUCCCGCGUUGUCGUGCACUGGUGAAGAGCCAGUGCGCCGGCGGCCAGGUCGUCGAGAGCAUCCAGAAGGACUGUUGUCGCCAGAUCGCCGCCAUCGGCGAUGAAUGGUGCAUAUGUGGUGCGCUAGGCUCAAUGCGGGGGAGCAUGUACAAGGAGCUCGGUGUGGCGUUGGCAGACGAUAAGGCGACGGUCGCGGAAGUGUUCCCUGGGUGUCGGACGGAAGUGAUGGAUCGCGCCGUGGCGAGCCUCCCAGCGGUAUGCAAUCAGUACAUCCCUAAUACUAAUGGCACCGACGGUGUUUGCUACUGGCUCUCGUACUAUCAGCCACCCAGGCAAAUGAGUAGUAGAUGAUGUGAUUGCAUGACAUCU
rnacentral:lncRNA from 1 species